UACAGAGGGGGCAAGCGUUGUUCGGAAUUACUGGGCGUAAAGGGCGCGUAGGCGGCCUGUUAAGUCGAACGUGAAAUCCCCGGGCUCAACCCGGGAACUGCGUCCGAUACUGGCUGGCUUGAAUCCGGGAGAGGGAUGCGGAAUUCCGGGUGUAGCGGUGAAAUGCGUAGAUAUCUGGAGGAACACCGGUGGCGAAGGCGGCAUCCUGGACCGGUAUUGACGCUGAGGCGCGAAAGCCAGGGGAGCAAACGGG
rnacentral:rRNA from 1 species